AUGGGCGAUCAUACCAGCACUAAUGCACCGGAUCCCAUCAGAACUCCGCAGUUAAGCGUGCUUGGGCGAGAGUAGUACUAGGAUGGGUGACCUCCUGGGAAGUCCUCGUGUUGCACCUC
rnacentral:rRNA from 2 species